UACUUCUAUCUGGGGUGCUUGCCUAUAGCAAGCUGAGAAUUACCCAUUGAACCUGUAGGUUAGUACCUGCGUAGGGAGAUAACAAAAAGAGUCG
rnacentral:ncRNA from 2 species